rnacentral:tRNA from 1 species
UAGAAAGUAUUAUACUGGAGUAUAGGAAGUUUUGGACUUCCAGGUCUGAGUUCGAGCCUCAGCUUUCUAG